AAACUUAAACAGUUAUACCAACGAAGUGAUAAGCAAAAGGAACUUAAAAACUCUUUACAGGAAGAACUCAAGUCUGUCCGCAUGGAAAUAACGUUAAUGAAAGCUCCAACAGAAAAUCCUUUGGAGUCUGUUUUAGUAAAUACUGUGCCAAUCAGGACUCUCCAUUCUCAUUUACUUUAUUCUCAAUAUUUGGUGCAAAACUUAAAUUCUGUGAAAGAAAAUAUUCAAAGAGAGCUUGAUUUUUAUCAACUUUUGGAAAAAUUAUUUGCUGAGCAACACGAGAAACUUUUGAGCAGACAUCCCGCCAAUCGGAUGGUCAGUGCUGGUUUAGUGGUUCUCAAUAAAAAUGAGCAGAAAAAACUAUUUUAUGUGAAUGAAGUGAAGCCGAAGU